UCCCUAGUGGCUCAGAUGAUGAAGAACCUGCCUGCAAUGCAGGAAACCAGGGUUCAAUCCCUGGGUAGGGAA
rfam:TPA: Bos taurus chromosome 7, whole genome shotgun sequence.